AAGGACAACUGGAUGGACAGUCCCAAAACCCUGGUGGUCUGGUUAGAGGGGCUCACAUGGCACAGGGGUCCUCUUCUCCUUGGAAGCCAUGGGCCAGCUAGGAGACCCCGUCCCAGUGGCAGCCAUGUCCAGCGGCUUCAUCCCGACGACCAGGUGGAUCUGCCUCCUUGAAUGCCUGGCCCUGGCCUUAGUCCACCCCAGGAGUUCCCUCACGGGCCACCUUUCGGGCAUCCUGGCAGGGCUGGUGUUCUCCUUCUUCUGGGGCCAGGGCUGAAGCAACCCAACUCCAUUCUGCUUCCUUUCCCCCCUCAAAAAUAAAACA